rnacentral:misc_RNA from 1 species
GAUGAAGAACGUAGCGAAAUGCGAUACGUAAUGUGAAUUGCAAAUUCAGUGAAUCAUCGAGUCUUUGAACGCACAUUGCGCCCCCUGGUAUUCCGGGGGGCAUCCCUGUCCGAGCGUCAUUGCUGCCCUCAAGCACGGCUUGUGUGUUGGGCCCCGUCCUCCGAUCCCGGGGGACGGGCCCGAAAGGCAGCGGCGGCACCGCGUCCGGUCCUCGAGCGUAUGGGGCUUUGUCACCCGCUCUGUAGGCCCGGCCGGCGCUUGCCGAUCAACCCAAAUUUUUAUCCAGGUUGACCUCGGAUCAGGUAGGGAUACCCGCUGAACUUAAGCAUAUCAAUAAGCGGAGGA